AAUUCCUUCCACAGAUUGAGUGAUGUUAUGUAAAACACAGAUAUCUCUGCCUAUAGCAAAAACAUUAUCGCCUGUGGAAACUUUCACUGUCCAUUCUUUAGUAUGUAGCUCUCUGUACUGUGCUUCAGCUUGAAGGCCAUCAGGAACAGGUCCAACAUAAUGUUGCCUUCUUAGACCCUCACGACAACCAAUGCUGCAGAUCUUUUGAACCUCUGAUAACCUUCGUACUACCUGAGCAAGAGGAAAUUCAGGCUUUCUAACACACCUCUUCAGUUUAUGAAGGUAAUUUUCAAAUGGAAAAGCAGAGAUAGUGUCCAAACAACCAUGCACAUCUGCAUCUGCAGACAGGUGGACCAAGGAAUGGACAUUAUACACUAAGGCAUCUCUGCCGUACAGCUCCCCAAAAUGACUAACAAAUGUGGAGAGCAGUGUGUUUGCAUAUGUACUAUACAUAUGGACUAGCUGUGGACUGACAAGGAUGGAAAUACCUGUAGAUAACAACAUAAAGUUGUUAUAUAAAUUACUGUCUAAAUAUGGUUCCAGAACAACAGGGCCUGUAUACAAGAGAAAUUGUCUGAACUCUGUAACUUUCCAACGAUCUAAUUCUCGAAGGGAUCGGGGUUUCCUUGCAAACUCUACUGGUAUAUACCUACGCAUCUGAGUUAGACUUUCUGAAAUCCUGUCAACAAGACUAGAGGACAAACGAAACAUCAGAGGGCCCCUCAGCCAAAUGUUUAGCAAUCGUCGCAUUACACCUAAACAUGCAAGGUGCAUGUAAUCAAGGGGAAACCGAGUUACCAUACCAACAUCUAAAUUAGAAAAUCCAUGAGGUCCUUCAUGGUGAUGAUCCUCAUCAGCUCUCUCUGAAAAUGAUGAGUCAGUCCGUAACAUGUAAUUAUUUAAAGGGUAAGUCAUUCGUCUGUUAAUGUAAACACCUGGCUGGGAACAUUUAUCACAUCCGUGAUAUCCAUUGUGAGCCUUUGUGUUUUUUACAAAUGCCCUAGCAGGUGUAUCACACACAACAGAAACCAGUUCAAGGAACACUUUUUUCCCACUGAAAUCAAAACCUCUCUGUAGCUGUUGUAACUCACAUGUGAAGUCUCGCAAAAAUUCUUCAGCUGGAUAAGGUUUUUUACUGCCACAAAAAAUGCCUAUGACAACAGGUUCCUUCAUUGGAACACUUAACAGAAGUCCUAAAAUAGGCCAAAACUGAAUAUUUGUGCUUUUAAACAGUGGUAACCCAUCAAUAUUAAUCUGCAGCUUGAAUUUAAAGCCAUCAGCAACAUUGCGUAUAUGUUGAGAUAAGGUGUUACGAAGCGCUGCCAAGAUACCUGUAUAAUGAUACAACCCACCACAUUUUUCUUGUAUUUUGUAAUUAAUUUCUGUUUUGAGGACAGUCCUAGCAUCUUUUGGCAGUUCUGGGUGGUACACCCUCAACAGGGUAAGGAGGGCUGUGAGCGCGACCAAAGAAAUACUGAACUGUACAGCCCAAUUGGCUAAGCUGUCCAAAAGGCUCACAUGCUCUUCAUCAGUGUCAUCAUCAGACUCUGAAACCAUUUCUUCUCCCCCCCAUUCUAUGUCUGUGUGAUGGUCAUCUGAAUUGUCAUCCUCCACUUGAGGAGUAACGCUAGAGUCACAAUCAUGGUUGCCAUCGCUGUCAUUGGUGUUGUCACAUGGGUCUGCCCUGUUUUCUACCGCCUGUUCUGUUAAAUGAGAGUCGUCUGCAAUGUCAUGGAGUCGUUUUUCUAAUGCAAAGCGUGCCCUCUGCCUGACUCCGGAGUCUGUUAAUGGAGGUUGCCUCCUUUUCAUCUUCUCUCUAAAAUAGAUUCUGACAGAAAUACAUGUUUUAGGGUCCAUCUGGGGUUUAACCCCAGCCCUCUACUGAUCUUUAUUUAUUUAUUUUCCACUGUAUAUGUGUGUGUAUCAGACAUUUAUCUGAAUAACAACAAAGUUAAUACAAAAACAACUAAACAAGUUAACUUUUUACUCCUUAUACCCAUAAAUAUUGUAACACAUUGUAUGUUUGUGUGUUUGACUCACCUUCCUGUUGUGCUGAAGACGUGAUGUGUGACUCCUUUCUGUUACAGUAUUCCAGAUAAACCUCAAACUGAAAGAACAUUUUUUACAUGAUUAAGAUUAUUAUUGUUUUAACAAAUGAAUACGAUCAGAUAUUAUUUCUCAGAUCAGAAUCAACUAAUUAAAUGCCGUUUCAAAUUAUAUGGUGAAAUAAUAAAAUACAAUGGAAAGUGCAUGAUUUUUGAUUGGCCGAUUGACUCUGAAAACUAGCUAUUCACAAGCGACAACUUGCUUCUGAAUGGUCAUUUCAAGUAAUUGACAGUUGCCGUUGCCAAUGCUCAUCCAUAUCCUGUCUGGCUAAAGAUCCUACUGUACUGUAGGACUGUAGAGCUACAAAUGAGCAACGGACAGCGACGUUGAAGAGAACUGUUCAACAUCGAGUGAGCAGAGCGUUGAAGAUUCUUCCUGGUGAUCUGCUGCCCAUCAUCAACAGUGUUGGGGACUUCUGUGUGCUUCUUCUCACUUCCUGC